AAAAGAUUUAGUCCUAACCUUACCAUUAAUU
rnacentral:rRNA from 1 species